GGGCUGGUUAGCAAGGGAGAGCUGCAUCCAUCUCACUUCAUGGAAGCCUCACAUGCCAUUGGCUGUCUGCAGUGGGAUGUGUUCCUUUGCAAUUAGGUAAAUGCCUUCUCAGGAGAUGUGGUGAUUCCUCCUCCGCUAGUGCCCCACCUCCCUCGUGCUUCUGCACAACGCCCAACAGGAAGGCAGGGGGCCAGGGGAGCCAAAGAGGGCUCAGAUAGUGACCUCAAAUGCACGCAGCCUGAGAGCUGGCCUGCUACUGCCUGCCUCGUUCCAAAGGGACAUUCGGCUCAGGGAGUCCAUAAACAUCAUGGCUUUAAAAUCCACCCAAGGAAGGAAGGAAGGAGGGAAGGACAUGGCCUGUGAUACAGGAAGAAGCAGUGCCCACUUUUUGCUUUGAGAAAAAGCCCUCAAAGCUAAGUCUUUAUGAAGAAUGGUGUCUGUCAUCCAGAGUGACUCCACGAGGUUUGUUGCGCUUUAUCUCAGUUUUACAGUUAGGGACAUGGAGGCGUGGACAGAAGGCGGAACAACGUGGUGGCAGCCAUGCUGGAACCACAGUCUUGCCGUGGAACUAGGCUCCUCACCUGUGUGCCGCGCUGCUCUUCCGUCUCCUUCAUGGAGGAGCAAGGACCAGAUCAAAGAGAGUGGCCACGUCUCUAUUUUUGGAAACUGCGGAUCAAUUUGGUGCAAGGGAGCGGUGUGAAGUUAGAACAAGGACUGUGUUUUGUUGCCACAUCGUGACAUGCUCGCAUAUUUCAACUUGCGCCAUGUAACCAAAUUCAUCAUUAUAAUAUUUUGCAGAGUCCCCAAGGUAUUGUUCCAAGACUGAUUUGUCCCCUGCACUUUUCCUUUUGCUUCCUCUUUGGGCUACGCUACCCAGUGGGCAUGGUUCCUGAGCCAAGAUCUUCUUGUUUAGGCUGUUAUGCUUAUUUGGGACUCAUGUUAGGUUUCAUGAACUUAAAUGGGGAGUAAGUAAUAAAUUCAUAGAGGAAAUUGGGUUAGCAUGUGAUUAACAUCCCGGCUGAUGUAGACAGGUGUACCAAUGAUGGGAACAUGUGCUUGUAUCAUGAUGAAAUGCAGAUUGGAGGCCCUGGAGCCAACCCAAGGAAAUGUGCCCAAAACUGUUUCAUCUCUGUCAGCUUUAAUCUGAUAGAAUGAGAGUGUGCUUCAAUGCAG
rnacentral:lncRNA from 1 species